rnacentral:rRNA from 1 species
UUCAGAGAAAUUUGAGCUAAUACCGGAUGAUGUCUUCGGACCAAAGAUUUAUCGCCUUUAGAUGGGCCCGCGUUGGAUUAGCUAGUUGGUGGGGUAAAGGCCUACCAAGGCGACGAUCCAUAGCUGGUCUGAGAGGAUGAUCAGCCACACUGGGACUGAGACACGGCCCAGACUCCUACGGGAGGCAGCAGUGGGGAAUAUUGGACAAUGGGCGAAAGCCUGAUCCAGCAAUGCCGCGUGAGUGAUGAAGGCCUUAGGGUUGUAAAGCUCUUUUACCCGAGAUGAUAAUGACAGUAUCGGGAGAAUAAGCUCCGGCUAACUCCGUGCCAGCAGCCGCGGUAAUACGGAGGGAGCUAGCGUUGUUCGGAAUUACUGGGCGUAAAGCGCACGUAGGCGGCUUUUUAAGUCAGGGGUGAAAUCCCGGGGCUCAACCCCGGAACUGCCCUUGAAACUGGGAAGCUAGAAUCUUGGAGAGGCGAGUGGAAUUCCGAGUGUAGAGGUGAAAUUCGUAGAUAUUCGGAAGAACACCAGUGGCGAAGGCGACUCGCUGGACAAGUAUUGACGCUGAGGUGCGAAAGCGUGGGGAGCAAAUGGGAUUAG